GUCGGAUUCGUCUAACGGUUAGGACAUCACCCUUUCAAGGUGGAAACACGGGUUCGAUUCCCGUAUCCGAUA
rnacentral:tRNA from 1 species